rnacentral:rRNA from 1 species
GCAGAGCAUCCUACGGGAGGCAGCAGUGGGAAUAUUGCACAAUGGGCGCAAGCCUGAUGCAGCCAUGCCGCGUGUAUGAAGAAGGCCUUCGGGUUGUAAAGUACUUUCAGCAGUGAGGAAGGUGGGUAUGUUAAUAGCAUACUCAUUUGACGUUAGCUGCAGAAGAAGCACCGGCUAACUCCGUGCCAACAGCCGCGGUAAUACGGAGGGUGCGAGCGUUAAUCGGAAUUACUGGGCGUAAAGCGCAUGCAGGUGGUUUGUUAAGUCAGAUGUGAAAGCCCGGGGCUCAACCUCGGAAUUGCAUUUGAAACUGGCAAACUAGAGUACUGUAGAGGGGGUAGAAUUUCAGGUGUAGCGGUGAAAUGCGUAGAGAUCUGAAGGAAUACCGGUGGCGAAGGCGGCCCCCUGGACAGAUACUGACACUCAGAUGCGAAAGCGUGGGGAGCAAACAGGAUUAGAUACCCUGGUAG